GAUGAAGAACGCAGCGAAAUGCGAUAAGUAGUGUGAAUUGCAGAAUUCAGUGAAUCAUCGAAUCUUUGAACGCAUAUUGCGCUCUUUGGUAUUCCGAAGAGCAUGCUUGUUUGAGUAUCAGUAAACACCUCAAAGCUUUUGGAUUUUUUAAUCGAAAAGCUUUGGACUUGAGCAAUCCCAACACCAAUCUUUUUGAGAUCGGUGGCGGGUUGCUUGAAAUGCAGGUGCAGCUGGACAUUCUCCUGAGCUAAAAGCAUAUUCAUUUAGUCCCGUCAAACGGAUUAUUACUUUUGCUGCAGCUAACAUAAAGGGAGUUUGACCGUAUUGGCUGACUGAUGCAGGAUUUCACAAGGGUCGGCAACGAUUCUUGUUAAACUCGAUCUCAAAUCAAGUAAGACUACCCGCUGAACUUAAGCAUAUCAAUAAGCGGAGGA
rnacentral:misc_RNA from 1 species